GCUUGGGGAAUAGGGAAAGGGCAAUUAAAACUAAACUCUGACUCGGCCCUCCAGAUGGGCUAUGGCCGGGAAGAGGUCAGGGAGCAAGGGGGCCACGGGGAUCCGGGGCGUGGGACUCGGGCCCCGGCCUGAGUCUUAGGUAUCCGUAGCGCCCUCCUUCUUCCUCCUCUUCGCUGAAUACAGCUCACGGUAAGUACUGGUUCACACAGUUCGUUCUCUGGGUGCUCACUCUCUUUCUCUUUCUCCACAGGCAACGGCUGGGACACACAGGCACAGUUAGUUCAGCUUGGUUUUGCUCUCACCUCUUCGCUGAUUACAGCUCACAGUAAGUACUGGUUCACACAGUUCGUUCCUUGGGUGCUCACUCGCUUUCUCUUUCUCCACAGGCAGCGGCGUAAGUACAGGUUUCCUCGGUCUCUCCUCGUGUUACCCACUCUCUCUCCUUUUCUCUCCACAGGCAUCAACUUGGGCACACUAGCACAGUUAGUUUGCUUUGAAUGGCUCUCACCUCUGGGCUGAACACAGCGUACUGUAAGUACAGGUUCCCUCUGUUCGUUCUCUGGGUGCUCACUCUCUUUCUCUUUCUCCACAGGCAACGGCUGGGACACACAGGCACAGUUAGUUCAGCUUGGUUUUGCUCUCACCUCUUCGCUGAUUACAGCUCACAGUAAGUACUGGUUCACACAGUUCGUUCCUUGGGUGCUCACUC
ensembl:lncRNA